AGAUUGAACGCUGGCGGCAUGCCUUACACAUGCAAGUCGAACGGCAGCACGGGAGCAAUCCUGGUGGCGAGUGGCGAACGGGUGAGUAAUACAUCGGAACGUGCCUAGUAGUGGGGGAUAGCCCGGCGAAAGCCGGAUUAAUACCGCAUACGACCUACGGGUGAAAGCGGGGGAUCGCAAGACCUCGCGCUAUUGGAGCGGCUGAUGUCAGAUUAGGUAGUUGGUAGGGUAAAAGCCUACCAAGCCGACGAUCUGUAGCUGGUCUGAGAGGACGACCAGCCACACUGGGACUGAGACACGGCCCAGACUCCUACGGGAGCAGCAGUGGGAAUUUUGGACAAUGGGCGCAAGCCUGAUCCAGCCAUGCCGCGUGCGGGAAGAAGGCCUUGGUUGUAAACCGCUUUUGUCAGGAAGAAACGCAACUGGGCCAAUAUCCUAGGUGUAAUGACGUACC
rnacentral:rRNA from 1 species